AACUGUUCUGUGGUCAGACGAAUCAAAAUUUGAAGUUCUUUAUGGAAAUCAGGGACGCCGUGUCAUUCGGACUAAAGAGGAGAAGGACGAUCCAAGUUGUUAUCAGCGCUCAGUUCAGAAGCCUGCAUCUCUGAUGGUAUGGGGUUGCAUUAGUGCGUGUGGCAUGGGCAGCUUACACAUCUGGAAAGACACCAUCGAUGCUGAAAGGUAUCCAGGUUCUAGGGCAGGGUUUCCCAAAGUGUGGUGAGCUGCCACUAGGGGGUGCGCAAGAUAAAAAAUGUAAUGGCGAUUUUUAACUCCUCUUCUACGCCGUAACGGUUCUGCAGUAGUUUUGAUGCCCUUCGCAACAACUUAUCUGUGCGAAGCUGGGUUCUCUGCUUUGGCAGCAAUUAAAACUAAACAUCGGCAAAGACUGGGAGAUGUUGAGAAAGAUUUGAGGCUGAGACUGUCUUCAAUUACCCCAAACAUCGGAGAGCUCUGUGCCAAGAUGCAGGCCCAUCCGUCGCAUUAAUAUUGACUGAGCUGCCAGUGCUGCACUUCACAAUCAGAUGGAUCCUCUUCUCUGUCUGUUCCUGAUAUGCUCCUUAAUUGUUGUAUCUCUUUAAAAUGCAUAUGUUCAUAAUUAUCAUUGCUGUUUUUACUGUUAUUAUAUGUUAACUUUUUUGCAAAUUAAAUUCAUUCUCAAUUCAUUUUCAUAACCUUGUAAUGACAGGGUUGUGUUGCUAGUGUUUUAAACACGGAUGAAAAUCAUAUAUUUUCCCCAUAUCUGGCUGGUAGACUACAUGCCUCGAUGUGAUCUGUAAGAAAGCUUUGGUGUUUUUUCACUUUUGUGGUUUCCUGCAGGUGUGGCAAACGAUGUUUAUCAUCAUUUUAGCACGAUUAAAGAUGCUGCCUUUAUAAGAAGGCGUGUGUUUUUUGGAACUGGGGGUGCGUCAACCUGGUUGGAGUAUAGAAGGGGGUGUGCGGCCAAAAAAGUUUGGGAACCGCUGUUCUAGAGCAACACAUGCUCCCAUCCAGAUGACGUCUUUUUCAGGGAAGACCUUGCAUUUUCCAACAUGACAAUGCUAAACCACAUACUGCAUCAAUUACAGCAUCAUGGCUGCGUAGAAGAAGGGUCCGGGUACUGAACUGGCCAGCCUGCAGUCCAGAUCUUUCACCCAUAGAAAACAUUUGGCGCAUCGUAAAACGGAAGAUACGACAAAAAAGACCUAAGACAGUUGAACAACUAGAAUCCUACAUUAGACAAGAAUGGGUUAACAUUCCUAUCCCUAAACUUGAGCAACUUGUCUCCUCAGUCCCCAGACGUUUACAGACUGUUGUAAAGAGAAAAGGGGAUGUCUCACAGUGGUAAACAUGGCCUUGUCCCAACUUUUUUGAGAUGUAUUGUUGUCAUGAAAUUUAAAAUCACCUAAUUUUUCUCUUUAAAUGAUACAUUUUCUCAGUUUAAACAUUUGAUAUGUCAUCUAUGUUCUAUUCUGAAUAAAAUUAUGAAAUUUUGAAACUUC